UACAGAGGGUGCAAACGUUGCUCGGAAUUACUGGGCGUAAAGCGCGUGUAGGUGGAUUGGUGUGUCAGAUGUGAAAGCCCUGGGCUCAACCCAGGAACUGCACCUGAAACUACCAGUCUUGAGUGGUGGAGAGGGAAGUGGAAUUCCUGGUGUAGAGGUGAAAUUCGUAGAUAUCAGGAGGAACACCAGGGGCGAAGGCGGCUUCCUGGACACUAACUGACGCUGAGACGCGAAAGCGUGGGGAGCAAACAGG
rnacentral:rRNA from 1 species